GAUGAACGCUGGCGGCGUGCCUAAUACAUGCAAGUCGAACGAAGAGCACUUAGUAUUCGUACUGAGAGUUCUUAGUGGCGAACGGGUGAGUAACGCGUUGGUGACCUGCCUCAAAGUGUGGGAUAACUCCGGGAAACUGGAGCUAAUACCUCAUGUGGUCUCGGUUUUUAGAAAUCUGAGACUAAAGGUCUUCGGAUCGCUUUGAGAGGGGCCUGCGUCCCAUCAGCUAGUUGGUAGGGUAAUGGCCUACCAAGGCGACGACGGGUAGGGGGCCUGAGAGGGUGACCCCCCACAAUGGAACUGAAACACGGUCCAUACACCUACGGGAGGCUG
rnacentral:rRNA from 1 species